rnacentral:sRNA from 1 species
UAUUCUGCCCUACGGGGAAGGAUGAGAAGCUUCGACCAGGGUUCGACUCGAGCGUAGCGAGAGAACGUUGCCGAAGGCAACGGCCCGAAGG